rnacentral:rRNA from 1 species
CUUGGUCAUUUAGAGGAAGUAAAAGUCGUAACAAGGUUUCCGUAGGUGAACCUGCGGAAGGAUCAUUACCUAGAGUUGUAGGCUUUGCCUGCUAUCUCUUACCCAUGUCUUUUGAGUACCUUCGUUUCCUCGGCGGGUUCGCCCGCCGAUUGGACAAUUUAAACCAUUUGCAGUUGCAAUCAGCGUCUGAAAAAACAUAAUAGUUACAACUUUCAACAACGGAUCUCUUGGUUCUGGCAUCGAUGAAGAACGCAGCGAAAUGCGAUAAGUAGUGUGAAUUGCAGAAUUCAGUGAAUCAUCGAAUCUUUGAACGCACAUUGCGCCCCUUGGUAUUCCAUGGGGCAUGCCUGUUCGAGCGUCAUUUGUACCUUCAAGCUCUGCUUGGUGUUGGGUGUUUGUCUCGCCUCUGCGCGUAGACUCGCCUCAAAACAAUUGGCAGCCGGCGUAUUGAUUUCGGGGCGCAGUACAUCUCGCGCUUUGCAUUCAGAACGACGACGUCCAAAAGUACAUUUUUACACUCUUGACCUCGGAUCAGGUAGGGAUACCCGCUGAACUUAGGCAUAUCAAUAAGCGGAGGA